rnacentral:rRNA from 1 species
UACGUAGGUGGCAAGCGUUACUCGGAAUCACUAGGCGUAAAGCGCGGGUAGGCGGUUGGAUAAGUCUGUUGUGAAAGCUCCUGGCUUAACUGGGAGAGGUCAACGGAUACUAUCUGGCUAGAGUGUGGUAGAGGAAGCUGGAAUUCCCGGUGUAGCGGUGAAAUGCGUAGAUAUUCGGAAGAACACCAGUGGCGAAGGCGACUUACUGGAUCAUGACUGACGCUGAGGCUCGAAAGCGUGGGGAGCAAACAGG